AGAACGAACGCUGGCGGCAUGCCUAAUACAUGCAAGUCGAACGAACACUUCGGUGUUAGUGGCGCACGGGUGCGUAACGCGUGGGAAUCUGCCCUUGGGUUCGGAAUAACAGUUGGAAACGACUGCUAAUACCGGAUGAUAUCGAAAGAUCAAAGAUUUAUCGCCCAGGGAUGAGCCCGCGUAGGAUUAGCUAGUUGGUGAGGUAAAGGCUCACCAAGGCGACGAUCCUUAGCUGGUCUGAGAGGAUGAUCAGCCACACUGGGACUGAGACACGGCCCAGACUCCUACGGGAGCAGCAGUAGGGAAUAUUGGACAAUGGGCGCAAGCCUGAUCCAGCAAUGCCGCGUGAGUGAUGAAGGCCGUUAGGGUUGUAAAGCU
rnacentral:rRNA from 1 species